AGGAUGAACGCUGGCGGCGUGCCUAAUACAUGCAAGUCGAACGAGCUCUUCGGAGCUAGUGGCGGACGGGUGAGUAACACGUUGGUACCUACCCCGAAGUGGGGAAUAACUGCCCGAAAGGGUGGCUAAUACCGCAUAAUACCGCAAGGUUAAAGCGAGUAAUCGCGCUUCGGGAGGGGCCUGCGUCCCAUUAGCUAGUUGGUAGGGUAAUAGCCUACCAAGGCGACGAUGGGUAGCUGGAUCGAGAGGUUGACCAGCCACACUGGGACUGAGAUACGGCCCAGACUCCUACGGGAGGCAGCAGUAAGGAAUCUUCCACAAUGGACGAAAGUCUGAUGGAGCAACGCCGCGUGCAGGAUGACGGUCUUCGGAUUGUAAACUGCUUUUAUAUGGGAAGAUUAUGACGGUACCAUAUGAAUAAGGACCGGCUAACUACGCGCCAGCAGCCGC
rnacentral:rRNA from 1 species